rnacentral:rRNA from 1 species
UUGACCUCGAAUCAGGUAGGAAUACCCGCUGAACUUAAGCAUAUCAAUAAGCGGAGGAAAAGAAACCAACCGGGAUUACCUCAGUAACGGCGAGUGAAGCGGUAACAGCUCAAAUUUGAAAUCUGGCUCUUCCGGAGUCCGAGUUGUAAUUUGUAGAAGAUGCUUUGGGUUGUGGGUUCGGCCUAAGUUCCUUGGAACAGGACGUCAUAGAGGGUGAGAAUCCCGUAUGUGGCCGAGGCCCGCGCCUAUGUAAAGCUCUUUCAACGAGUCGAGUUGUUUGGGAAUGCAGCUCAAAAUGGGUGGUAAAUUUCAUCUAAAGCUAAAUAUGGGCCAGAGACCGAUAGCGCACAAGUAGAGUGAUCGAAAGAUGAAAAGCACUUUGGAAAGAGAGUUAAACAGUACGUGAAAUUGUUGAAAGGGAAGCGCUUGCAACCAGACUUGGGCGCUGUCGAUCACCCCGAGUUCUCUCGAGUGCACUCGACAGCGCACAGGCCAGCAUCGGUUCGGGUGGCUGGAUAAAGGCCGUAGGAACGUGGCUCCCUUCGGGGAGUGUUAUAGCCUACGGUGCCAUGCAGCCCAGCCGGACCGAGGACCGCGCCUUCGGGCUAGGAUGCUGGCGUAAUGGUUGUAAGCGACCCGUCUUGAAACACGGACCAAGGAGUCUAACAUCUAUGCGAGUGUUUGGGUGGUAAACCCAUACGCGGAAUGAAAGUGAACGUAGGUGAGAACCCCUUUGGGGCGCAUCAUCGACCGAUCCUGA